UGGGGGAUCACUCGGCUUGUCUGUCGAUGAAGAGCGCAGCCAGCUGCAAGAACUGAUGUGAAUUUCAGGACUCGGUGAACAUCGACACCUGGAAUGCAUAUUGCGACCUUGAGAUCC